CGCGUGUACGAUGAAGGCCUUCGGGUCGUAAAGUACUUUCCAGGGAGAUGAGAAAGGACAGUACCCCUGGAAUAAGUCUCGGCUAACUACGUGCCAGCAGCCGCGGUAAAACGUAGGAGGCGAGCGUUAUCCGGAUUUACUGGGUGUAAAGCGCGUGCAGGCGGUUUGAUAAGUUGGAUGUGAAAGCUCCUGGCUCAACUGGGAGAGGUCGUUCAAAACUAUCAGACUAGAGAGUGGUAGAGGAAAGUGGAAUUCCCGGUGUAGUGGUGAAAUGCGUAGAUAUCGGGAGGAACACCAGUGGCGAAGGCGGCUUUCUGGACCAUUUCUGACGCUCAGACGCGAAAGCUAGGGUAGCAAACGGGAUUAGAGACCCCGGUAGUCCUAGCAGUAAACGAUGUGAACUUGGCGUUGGU
rnacentral:rRNA from 1 species